UCCGCGUGUGUGAAGAGGCCUGAGGGUUGUAAAGCACUUUCAGUGGGGAGGAGGAUAGCAUGGUUAAGAGCUGAGCUAUUGGACGUUACCUACAGAAGAAGCACCGGCUAACUCCGUGCCAGCAGCCGCGGUAAUACGGAGGGUGCGAGCGUUAAUCGGAAUUACUGGGCGUAAAGGGUGCGUAGGUGGUUAAAUAAGUUAGAUGUAAAAACCCUGGGCUUAACCUAGGACUGAGAUUUAAUACUGUUUAACUAGAGUAUGGGAGAGGGUAGUGGAAUUUCCGGUGUAGCGGUGAAAUGCGUAGAGAUCGGAAGGAACACCAGUGGCGAAGGCGGCUACCUGGCCUAAUACUGACACUGAGGCACGAAAGCGUGGGGAGCAAACAGGAUUAGAUACCCUGGUAGUCCACGCUGUAAACGAUGUCAACUAGCCGUUGG
rnacentral:rRNA from 1 species